rnacentral:misc_RNA from 1 species
CGAUAUAGUUAGUGAAUUGCAGAAUUCCGUGAUCAUCCGAAUCCUUUGAACGCACCUUGCGCUCCUAUGGUAUUCCGUAGAGCAUGCCUGUUUGAGUGCCGUGAAUUCUCCCAUCCCAAGCGGUUUUUAUCAAAGAAUUGCUAGGCGAUGGGGUUGAGAUGGGCGUUAUUAUAACUGCUUUUCUUCUCUAGAAAAAGCUCGCCCGAAAAACAGCUAACGCCUCUGGGCCACUUUGCAUCCGCUUCUCUGAGGGGAGAAGCGGCCAAGCGCGCUCUGAUCAUCAGGCAUAGCAUGAUACGUCAUUUGCUAUGCUGUAGGAGAGCAUUUGGUUGUGGUUAUACCGCGUGCGUCAUUUUUUUUUCUUGCAAAGAGAAAAAAAAAGCCCCCCUUUCAUUUCUGGUCUCAAAUCAGGUAGGAUCACCCGCUGAACUUAAGCAUAUCAUAAACCGGAAGAAAAUAA